rnacentral:lncRNA from 12 species
AAGAUCACUAUUUUAUCACUCUUCUAUUCUGAAGCAUGGAUUAAUUGUCCAAGAUCAGGGUGGGAGAAAAAUCAUGACAGAUGAUACAGAUGGAGACAGAGCUGCAUGGGAAACAAAGGAGACUUGAAACGGAAAUUAUUUAGAUUCCACACUUCCAGCUUUAUAAAACACAUGGCCAUUGAAUUUGAAUCUUCCAGAGUCAUGUUUCUUCUUGACUAUUUCUUCCAAG